rnacentral:rRNA from 1 species
UUCUAUGUAGCCUGAGACCCGAUGGGUAGUCCUCACGGACGAAAUCAGUGAUCCUAUGCUGCCGAGAAAAGCAUCGACGCGAGGUUCCAAUCGCCCGUACCCCAAACCGACUCAGGUGGUCAGGUAGAGAAUACUAAGGAGAUCGAGAGAAUCGUGGUUAAGGAACUCGGCAAAAUGCCCCCGUAACUUCGGGAGAAGGGGGGCCUGAGGCGUGUAGGGAUUUACUCCUGAAGCGUUUGAAGGCCGCAGAGACCAGUGGGAAGCGACUGUUUACUAAAAACACAGGUCCGUGCUAAGUCGCAAGACGAUGUAUACGGACUGACGCCUGCCCGGUGCUGGAAGGUUAAGAGGAACGGUUAGCACGCAAGUGCGAAGCUGAGAAUUUAAGCCCCAGUAAACGGCGGUGGUAACUAUAACCAUCCUAAGGUAGCGAAAUUCCUUGUCGGGUAAGUUCCGACCUGCACGAAUGGCGUAACGACUUCCCAGCUGUCUCAACCGCGAACUCGGCGAAAUUGCACUACGAGUAAAGAUGCUCGUUACGCGCAGCAGGACGGAAAGACCCCGUGACCUUUACUACAGCUUGGUAUUGGUGUUCGGUGUGGCUUGUGUAGGAUAGGUGGGAGACUGUGAAGCUCGGACGCUAGUUCGGGUGGAGUCAUUGUUGAAAUACCACUCUGGUCACUCUGGAUAUCUAACUUCGAACCGUAAUCCGGUUCAGGGACAGUGCCUGGUGGGUAGUUUAACUGGGGCGGUUGCCUCCUAAAGAGUAACGGAGGCGCCCAAAGGUUCCCUCAACCUGGUUGGUAAUCAGGUGUCGAGUGUAAGUGCACAAGGGAGCUUGACUGUGAGACUGACAAGUCGAGCAGGGACGAAAGUCGGGACUAGUGAUCCGGCAGUGGCUUGUGGAAGCGCUGUCGCUCAACGGAUAAAAGGUACCUCGGGGAUAACAGGCUGAUCUUGCCCAAGAGUCCAUAUCGACGGCAUGGUUUGGCACCUCGAUGUCGGCUCGUCGCAUCCUGGGGCUGGAGUAGGUCCCAAGGGUUGGGCUGUUCGCCCAUUAAAGCGGUACGCGAGCUGGGUUUAGAACGUCGUGAGACAGUUCGGUCCCUAUCCGCUGCGCGCGUAGGAAAUUUGAGAAGAUCUAUCCCUAGUACGAGAGGACCGGGAUGGACGAACCUCUGGUGUGUCAGUUGUUCCGCCAGGAGCACCGCUGAUUAGCUACGUUCGGAACGGAUAACCGCUGAAAGCAUCUAAGCGGGAAGCCGGCUUCGAGAUGAGAUUUCCAUCCCUUUUAGGGUGAAGGCUCCCGGCUAGACUACCGGGUUGAUAGGCAGGAUGUGGAAGCGAGGACUAAAGACUCGUGGAGCUGACCUGUACUAAUAAGCCGAUAUCUUGAAA